rnacentral:rRNA from 1 species
AGAGUUUGAUCCUGGCUCAGGAUGAACGCUAGCGGCAGGCUUAACACAUGCAAGUCGAGGGGCAACGCGAGUAGCAAUACUUGGCGGCGACCGGCGCAAGGGUGCGUAACGCGUGAGCAACAUGCCCGUAUCAGGGGGAUAAUCCAGGGAAACUUGGUCUAAUACCCCAUAGUAAUUUUGUAAGGCAUCUUAUAAGAUUUAAAGCUUUGGUGGAUACGGAUUGGCUCGCGUGACAUUAGCUGGAUGGUAAGGUAACGGCUUACCAUGGCUAUGAUGUCUAGGGGUUCUGAGAGGAAGGUCCCCCACACUGGAACUGAGACACGGUCCAGACUCCUACGGGAGGCAGCAGUGAGGAAUAUUGGACAAUGGAUGGAAAUCUGAUCCAGCCAUGCCGCGUGAAGGAAGAAGGUCCUAUGGAUUGUAAACUUCUUUUGUAUGGGAGCAAUAAGGCCUACGAGUAGGUUGAUGAGAGUACCAUACGAAUAAGCACCGGCUAACUCCGUGCCAGCCGCUGC